CAGAGGGUGCAAGCGUUGUUCGGAAUUAUUGGGCGUAAAGCGCGUGUAGGCGGCUUAGCAAGUCGGGCGUGAAAGCCCUCGGCUCAACCGAGGAAGUGCACCCGAAACUGCUGAGCUUGAGUGCCGGAGAGGAUGGCGGAAUUCCCCAAGUAGAGGUGAAAUUCGUAGAUAUGGGGAGGAACACCGGUGGCGAAGGCGGCCAUCUGGACGGUAACUGACGCUGAGACGCGAGAACGUGGGGAGCAAACAGGAUUAGAUACCCUGGUAGUCCACGCCGUAAACGAUGAGAACUAGAUGUCGCGGGUGUUGGCCCCUGCGGUGUCGCAGCUAACGCAUUAAGUUCUCCGCCUGGGAAGUACGGUCGCAAGAUUA
rnacentral:rRNA from 1 species